AGAACGAACGCUGGCGGCAUGCCUAACACAUGCAAGUCGAACGAGACCUUCGGGUCUAGUGGCGCACGGGUGCGUAACGCGUGGGAAUCUGCCCCUGGGUUCGGGAUAACAGUUGGAAACGACUGCUAAUACCGGAUGAUGUCUUCGGACCAAAGAUUUAUCGCCCAAGGAUGAGCCCGCGUAGGAUUAGCUUGUUGGUGAGGUAAGAGCUCACCAAGGCGACGAUCCUUAGCUGGUCUGAGAGGAUGAUCAGCCACACUGGGACUGAGACACGGCCCAGACUCCUACGGGAGGCAGCAGUGGGGAAUAUUGGACAAUGGGCGAAAGCCUGAUCCAGCAAUGCCGCGUGAGUGAUGAAGGCCUUAGGGUGUAAAGCUCUUUUACCCGGGAUGAUAAUGACAGUACCGGAGAAUAAGCCCGCUAACUCCGUGCCAGCAGCCGC
rnacentral:rRNA from 1 species